UCACCAGUGAGUGGAGGACGGGUGAGUAACACGUAAGUAACCUGCCCCGGAGCGGGGGAUAACAUUUGGAAACACAUGCUAAUACCGCAUAACAACAAAAGCCACAUGGCUUUUGUAUGAAAGAUGGCCUUGGCUAUCACUCUGGGAUGGACCUGCGGUGCAUUAGCUAGUUGGUGAGAUAAUAGCCCACCGAGGCAACGAUCAGUAGCGGACGUGAGAGGGUGACCGGCCACAUUGGGACUGAAACACGGCCCAAACUCAUUCGGGAGGCAGCAGUGGGGAAUAUUGCCCAAUGGGAGAAAGCCUGAUGCAGCAACGCCGUGUGAGGGAAGACGGUUUUCGGAUUGUAAACUUCUAUCAAUUGGGACGAAAGAAAUGACGGUACCUAAAUAAGAAGCCCCGGCUAACUACGUGCCAGCAGCCGCGGUAAUAGGUAGGGGGCAAGCGUUUUCCGGAAUUACUGGGUGUAAAGGGAGAGUAGGGGGCAAGGUAAUCGAUAUGUGAAAGCCUUAGGCUUACCCAAAGGAUUGCAUAACGAACUAUCUAGUUGGAGUCCAGGAGAGGAAAGCGGAAUUCUUAGUGUAGCGGUGAAAUGCGUAGAUAUUAGGAAGACCACCAGUGGCGAAGGCGGUCUUUUUGGACUGAAACUGACGUUGAGGCUGGAAAGCGUGGGGAGCAACCAGGAUUAGAUCCCUGGGUAUUCCACCCUGUAAACGAUGAUUAUUGGUGUGUGGUGGGACUGUCCCCUUCGGUGCCGCAGUUAACACAAUUAGUAAUCCACCUGGGGAGUACGACCGCAAGGUUGAAAGUCAAAGGAAUUGACGGGGGCCCGCACAAGCAGUGGAGUAUGUGUUUUAAUUAGAAGCAACGCGAAGAACCUUCCCAGGUCUUGACAUGGUAGGCAUAGCAUAGAGAUAGGUGAAAUCCCUUUGGGGACAUAUAGACAGGUGGUGCUUGGUUGUUGUCAGCUUGUGUCGUGAGAUGUUGGGUUAAGUCCCGCACCGAGCGCAACCUUUACCUUUAGCUGGUAAGCAAGAGCACUCUAGAGGGACUGCCGUGGACAAAACGGAGGAAGGUGGGGAUGACGUCAAAUCAUCAUGCCCCUUAUGACCUGGGCUACACACGCACUACAAUGGCAAUUACCAGAGGGAAGCAAACCAGCGAUGUGGAGCAAAUCCCGAAAAAUUGUCCCAGUUCAGAUUGCAGUCUGAAACUCGCCUGCAUGAAGUCGGAAUUGCUAGUAAUCGCAGAUCAGAAUGUUGCGGUGAAUACGUUCCCGGGCCUUGUACACACCGCCCGUCA
rnacentral:rRNA from 1 species